UAAGGGUGCAGACCCUGAAUUGGGAUACAGCCAAGGAGAGGGGCAAGAAAGAAGGAGGAGAAGAGGGAGAGGACAACACCACGCCCACACACUCCCACAGCCUCACAGGAUGUAACAACAAGCGUCACAGAGCAUUGUUGUUUUAAAGCAGGACAUAAAAAGAAGCCUAAUUCUGGGAGUUCAUCCUUUGGACAAUUUGAAGUAAAACAGUUAAAGAUUAGCUGCAUCAGAGAGCAGCAGAGCUGGAUGUGAGGAUGAGGCGCUCUUUGCUCUGCGUGCUGGAGUUACUCUGGCUAAGUACACUCUACUAUGGAAAUGCAGAAGUUCGUAACAGGAUCACAGUAAAACUGCAGCACAGCUGGUCUCAGAUAUUCACUGGUGAGACAAUCACUCUCAGAUGUGAGAUUCAGGGAGGUGAAGGAAAGGUGUGGAAAUAUGAAUGGACAGCACCCAACACAAACAGCCCUCCAACAUCCAGUGAAUACAGGAUCAGCAGAGUUUCAGUGUCCCACAGUGGAGACUACAGAUGUCGGGGUAGCAGUGACUAUCUCUUAACAGGAUGGAGUGAUGCCUUCACACUGACAGUUUCAUGUAAGUUGGACCAUGAUUCAUGCUGA